rnacentral:rRNA from 1 species
GACGAGGGGUCCAAGCGUUGUUCGGAAUCAUUGGGCGUAAAGCGGGUGUAGGUUCCUUGCAAGUCAGGAGUGAAAUCCCCGAGCUUAACUUGGGAAGUGCUUUUGAAACUGCAGGGCUUGAAUGUGGGAGAGGAUCGUGGAAUUCCAGGUGUAGUGGUGAAAUACGUAGAUAUCGGGAGGAACACCAGUGGCGAAGGCGGCGAUCUGGGCAGUUACUGACGCUGAGGUGCGAAAGCGUGGGGAGCAAACA